AUGCUGCGCGAGCUCAUCGGGGUAGAUGUGCUUGCGCAGCAUGUCCACGACCUCGGCCUUGGAGCGGGCGGCGAGGAAGCGGAGCUCGGCGGCGUCGCCGGGGUCGGACUCGGCGAGCGGGCGGAAGUUGGUGACGGCAUCGCGGCCGCGGAAGCGCUGCGCCGCCGCAUCGUAGGCGCGCGCAGCCUCGGCCUCCCCCGUGAAGGUGCCGAGCCAGACGCGCUGGUGGCGUUCAUAGAUCUGCGCGCCCCAGCGCCCGUUGGGCUGCGGCACCACGCCCUUGUACUUGGACGACGGCAGCCUGCCGACGCGGCAGGAGUCCGCCUCGGCGCCAGGCUCCGGCGCGUCCAUGACCGCGCUGGCCCCGCUGCCGAUGCGCUGCAGCGGCUUGGUCGCCGGCGCGGCCGGCGCCGGAGAGGCCUUCUUGCCCGUGGACGCGCCGCUGCUCACGUCGCCCACGAGGCAGCUCCUCGCGCUGUCCAUCCGAUCACCACCGAGAGAAAUCAAGAAGAUGCUUAG
rnacentral:rRNA from 1 species